CAAAACCACAAGAUUGUUUGGGGUGAUUCUGACACGAAUGAGUGAUUGUGCUUGGUCAGUUAACAAGUGCCCCUACGCACCUUAACGGGUGCUGGAAGCCAGUGCUGACUGAGGAAGUGAAGGAAACGGCUGUUCCUGAAAGUGUGAGAUUGUUGGCUCGAUCAUAGCUGUCCCUACACACUCCACGGAGUGUGUAGAGCGUCAGUGUGCUCGGGGAGCGCAAGCCCGCAGCCAGAAUAUAGUCAUCUGGGCAGGCUUGAGUGAAAGCUUUUCCCUGAAGUAACCACAGGAACUUUGCACAAUGGUUAAAAAGAAUAAGAAACAGGGUGAUGACGCCAUCAUUCCCGGAUGGGAAGAUGAGCCAUAUGCAUUGAUUGCCAGGGAAUGGGCCCGUUCCGCUGGCAAAUGCAAUGAUGAAUGUGAAAAAAGUGAAAUUGACAUGCCAAUUGAC